GAUGCUAUUUCUAGAGAUAGAAAGUUACUUCGGUACAUCGGUGACAGGUGGUGCAUGGUUGUCGUCAGCUCGUGUCGUGAGAUGUUGGGUUAAGUCCCGCAACGAGCGCAACCCCUAUUGUUAGUUGCCAUCAUUCAGUUGGGCACUCUAGCGAGACUGCCGGUAAUAAACCGGAGGAAGGUGGGAUGACGUCAAAUCAUCAUGCCCCUUAUGACCUGGGCUACACACGUGCUACAAUGGUUGGUACAACGAGUUGCGAGUCGGUGACGGCGAGCUAAUCUCUUAAAGCCAAUCUCAGUUCGGAUUGUAGGCUGCAACUCGCCUACAUGAAGUCGGAAUCGCUAGUAAUCGCGGAUCAGCACGCCGCGGUGAAUACGUUCCCGGGCCUU
rnacentral:rRNA from 1 species